rnacentral:rRNA from 1 species
UACGUAGGGUGCAAGCGUUGUCCGGAAUUAUUGGGCGUAAAGAGCUCGUAGGCGGUUAGUCGCGUCUGCUGUGAAAACCCGGAGCUCAACUCCGGGCCUGCAGUCGAUACGGGCGGACUUGAGUGUUGCAGGGGAGACUGGAAUUCCUGGUGUAGCGGUGAAAUGCGCAGAUAUCAGGAGGAACACCGGUGGCGAAGGCGGGUCUCUGGGCAACUGACUGACGCUGAGGAGCGAAAGCGUGGGGAGCGAACAGG